CGCCUAGGAGCAGAGCGGAGGCCAAGCCGAAGGUGGUGAAGACGGCAAAGUCAUUCAGCUCGGCUCCUGCCCCAGACGGCCCAAGAUCCUGACAACCUCAGGAGAUGGUGCUAGAAUUCUCCCCUAUUUUAUGAAUGAGGAAACUACAGUUAAAAGAGAGGAAGAUACUUGCUCAAAGUCACAUGGUAAGUAGAACCAAAUCCCAUCUGUUUGAUUCUAAAUCUGCUGUUUCUUCGCUGCAGGCAUAGAUUUCAGCAGGAGGAGGUGUGUGGGAUAUGGCAGUGAACGAGCUCAAUGGCCAGGCCUGCGAGGCAGCAGCAGCCUCCCUGUGUGUGUGGGACCGUCCAGCCCAGGCCCCCCAGUGCUCCCAGUCUCUCCCAGUCUCUCCCACAACAGGGAAUUGGCUGGCCCUGCCCAUCUUCACAGUCUGUCUUGUCUCUGUUUUUACUCUAAGACCACAUUUGUACACCUUACACUCAAUCUGCUUGAGAAACUGAGUCUCUUGGAGAAAGAGCCCCAUUCCUCCCCAAAACUGAGAAGCCCCGCUGGUUGGGGCAAAUGUACCAGCCACAAAUAGAUCCUGCACUUGAGUGAAAUAAACAAGUUUCAAGGUGUUCCCA